ACGGGAGGCAGCAGUGGGGAAUAUUGCGCAAUGGGCGAAAGCCUGACGCAGCAACGCCGCGUGAGGGAUGACGGCCUUCGGGUUGUAAACCUCUUUCAGCACAGACGAAGCGAAAGUGACGGUAUGUGCAGAAGAAGCACCGGCCAACUACGUGCCAGCAGCCGCGGUAAUA
rnacentral:rRNA from 1 species